UUUAUGGAGAGUUUGAUCCUGGCUCAGGAUGAACGCUGGCGGCGUGCCUAAUACAUGCAAGUCGAGCGAACGGACGAGAAGCUUGCUUCUCUGAUGUUAGCGGCGGACGGGUGAGUAACACGUGGAUAACCUACCUAUAAGACUGGGAUAACUUCGGGAAACCGGAGCUAAUACCGGAUAAUAUUUUGAACCGCAUGGUUCAAAAGUGAAAGACGGUCUUGCUGUCACUUAUAGAUGGAUCCGCGCUGCAUUAGCUAGUUGGU
rnacentral:rRNA from 1 species